ACGCAGCUGUUGUUUUCCAGAAGAGCAAACUUGCGGCCCGAAAACCCAUGGCCAACCAAAAAAACAUGGUCACUGCCCAAGGUCGAGAAGACCCAAACCAGAACACUGCAACUUCAAUUCAGCAAUGUGACGUAAUACCAAGCUCAGACCUCAAGCCUGUGCAAGGCUCCAUCAAAACAUACCUAGGCCGCCCAUGGAAAAAAUACUCCAGGACCGUUGUGUUGCAGUCCGUCGUGGACGGCCACAUUGACCCAGCAGGAUGGGCUGAAUGGGAUGCCGCUAGUAAGGACUUUCUGCAAACAUUGUAUUACGGAGAGUACAUGAAUAGUGGAGCAGGUGCUGGUACCGGUAAGAGAGUGACUUGGCCAGGUUAUCAUAUCAUAAAAAAUGCUGCAGAGGCAAGCAAGUUUACAGUAACACAGCUCAUCCAAGGAAAUGUUUGGUUGAAGAACACAGGGGUGGCCUUCAUUGAAGGCCUGUAGAAAUGCCCUCUAACAACCGUGUACCGAUAUGUUUCAGACGUUUUGCAGGAAAUAAAACAGAAAAAUUAUGCUUUAUGGCAGGAUAUUACAAUUGUCUUCUAGUAGACUAGUAGUGUUGUAUUGAAUGGCUAAUGUCUGGAAAUAAACUUGUCUUUACUUUAUCCAUGUGCUUCCCAAUUCCCAGUUUUAUAUAUUACACAAUAGUCAUCUAACCUUUUUAAUCCAUAAACGAGAUUCUCAGAAUGAUGAAGGAAUUUACCUGUACUUUUAACAAAGGUCGAAAAUCAUAUAUAAUUAGAUGCUUUCAAAGGGAAACAAUUACAGGACAAUAAUAUGUUAUGUUAUAUCUUAGUUCUACAGCUUUAAGGUACAAAAUAAUUAUAUAAAAAAUUGAAAAUCACAUGCCCCAUUGGAUUUACAAUCCUUAUCUACAAAAUGGAAUGUUAUUUUGCCUAUAUAUAAGUUUGAUGAAGUAAACAAAGAUCAUAGUAAGAUAUUGGAUAAGAGACGAUAAUCUCAACUUUAGAGUAGUUGAUAUUUGUAGUUACAACAAAAAUCUUAAAAUCAAUUUAUCUUACACAUGACAGAGAAAAUAAACGGAUACAUUAUUAUCUAGAUUCUAAUAUCCAAACGAACUGUAACUUUGUUUCCUGAAUGAAAUAUGAAACACUGAAGUAUGAAUGUUAAAGCAAUGUUAACAUUGCAAUUUGCAACAUACUACGUACAUACUCAGUCAAUUUGAGUAAUAAAAAACUAACCUGCAAAAAAAGGCACCAUUCGAAAUUGUGGCUGCUAAGCAUGAAUGCAUUCUUUCCAAAGCAUCCAGUAAAUUGAUAAUUGACCGAUUUUGUAGUAGUAAUAACCUGGAAAUACUUCGGGUCUAGCACAAAUGGUUGGUGCAUAGUGUGUUUGACUGUUCUAAACUUCUGAGUACCGAAUUUGAUUCCUACUCAUCAGAUAGUAAUAACCUAAAUAUAAAUAAAAUAUUAUUAAUCAUACAAAUGAAAAACUAAUAUUAUAUUUUGAAAAUAAAGGUCCAAAUACUUAUUGUGACAUAAUCAUGAUUCUUAUUCUUCACAUUUAACUCGAGGGAAACAAAAAGCAAUCAGUUUAUCAGCACCAUAUAUUGUCGGAAUUGAUGGUCCUCUAAAGGCCCACCUCUAAAGAGCAACAUUUUAUGAAUCACUAGUAUGCCACAAUAUACAUGUGAGAAAGGAAAAAUAAGAGUUAGAAAUGAAGUAAAGUUGUCCUUACAUAUAAGAAAUGAGAUAAUUAUUCUGCUGAAGAUGCAGUAGAAAAUUAAAUAUUCAGGUUGGAUGUAAGAAGAAGUGGAAAGACUAUUUUAUUUUUCGAUAUAUAUAUAUAUCUAUAUUUAUGGUCUGCCAACGACAUCAGGCGACUAAUUUAAAACCUAUCACCGAGACACAAACUUCAAACUUGACUCCUCAUCAUAGCAGUUUAUUAACCCACUCAACCCUAAAAUAAACACAAAUAAGGUCACUGAAAGAGUAUUAAGAAGUAGGUCUAGGAUUCGACCCCUCUUGCUAACAAAUUCCUCCUCCUGCUAACAAUCUAGAAAAGGUAUAGCAGUGGCUUACUCCCCUGGUUUUCUUCUUUUUUAACCAAUACAGAAAAGCAUGGAUACCUUGUCCAUAGUGUUAUGAAUCCUGGAUAGCGGCUGAGCCACAAAUUGCUAGUGAGAAAGCAGAUAGCAGGACGACUGUUAUUUUGAAAAUUUUAUAACAAAAAUUGUGAGAUGCUUCCCGGACCCUGCGUAUGGUGGGACACUAUUGAGGCCAUGGCAAGCCACUGUUUUGAUCGCUAUAGCAACUGCUACAACUACUACACUAAGUACUCUGCUACUGCAUGUCUUCAAGUAGCCAAGGGCCACCGCUAUGCUACUGUAGUGCUGCUGUAGCGUGCUACUGACAACACGGGUCAUCCCUAUUGUACCGUAGAAGGGAAGAUCAUUUAAACUAUUUGUACUGACUUAUCACAAUAAGGCUAUAAUCCAUACAUUCAUUUAAACUAUAUACAUGUACAGAGUUUCUUUUGACUUUCAAUACCUUAAAAGAAGAAUUUAAAAUUCACAAGAGCCACCAUAACAGUUUUAAAUGGUGAAUCCUAGAUCAUUAGACUUGGGGAGUAAACAGACAUUAAUACUUAAAGUAAGGACUGGUCCAAUAAUCGAAAAUCUGCUUGUUUUGUUCUCUUAAACAUGUUCUGAACAGGAAAAAUUAAGGACCCCUGAAUUAUUAUUAUAUCGCAAGUUACAUUUUCACCCCUCUUACGAGCACAUUUGAUUCAACCAAUGUGACUGAUCCUAUGAAGCACAGACACUCCUCGAAUAAGGGGUGCCGGACACGCGUCGGUGUUCGACACCGACACGACACCUAUUAUUACAUAGAAUUAUGUCAUUUUCUUAAAUUAUUAUCCAUGUCAGCAUGUCGGUGUCCGGUGCCCGGUGUCCGUGUCUGUGUCCGUGCUUGAUCUGAUACAUGAAUAAAAAUGGUUGCUUCAUGCAUAUGGACCCACAAAAUAUAAAUAAGUAUGCUUACAUUUGAUAUGCUUCAUCAUGCAAUUGCAAUGUAAAAUCUUCCGGCAUUUAAAAACAAUUAAAGAAAAUAUUAUACAACUGAACACUAAGUCAAUGUCAUUAUGACGGCAAAUAAUGUAAGAAACCUUAUGGACAUUAGGGUAAAAUGUUUUCCAUUCAAAUCCAGAAUUGUUCAGUUUAUUGAGCCCUUCAGAUCAUCAGCAAACUUCUCUGCCACUCUUGAACUAUGAGUGAAAUGGUCCACUCUUGAAUUUUCCUGUAAAUAUAGAACUAAUUCAUGAUCCAAUCCAACAUCAUUACCAUAUUAUAAUAUGAACAUGUAGCCAUAUACAGAUAGAGGUAAUUAGAUAUAUGAUUAUUACAAAACACAGGAGCUCAAAACACAAUAAAAAUCAAUGAAAUUACAAAACUACGUCAACAGUAUGGAUUAACAAUUGAGAGCACUACGAAGUCGACAUCUUCAACAUCUUGUUCAUUGCAUUCACAUCAUUAAAAUUUAUGAAGUCGACAUCUUCUAUAGGUUAACGACAGGUAUGAAGAAGGUGUAUCAGUUGCUCCAUAAAUAAUGAACCACGAUUCCCUAUUGUCAAGAUUGAGAUUGAGAUCAGACAGUCCUAAUUCCAAGCUUAAAAAUAUUUCAAAUCUGAAUCGUCAAAUCUCAAUCCAACAACCUUGGAUGAACCAAAUGUGUCAAAAUUUUGACAGCAGGGAAUCCGAGUUCAUAAAUAAUGCUCAAGUACAACAAUGUGAGUGAACAAUUCACAAUUGAAGUAUAUAAUGGUUUGAAUUUCAAAAGCAAUUAAAAUUAUAUUAUUUAUAAAAUUUAACAAAUGAAAAUAGAAUGAGAAUACAUAGACAAAAUGGAUUAUUUAUAGCCUAGUGGCUAUAAAUUCACUAGUAAAAGUGAAUAGGUGGGGAAUCCGGAAUUUAAACUCCGGCCCCUGCAUGUUGCAACGUAACUAUGCUGGGACGCAGACAAAAUAGAUUCUAACAUUGAAUGAAAUUUUUGUAAAAAUACUUUAAUUCGUCGGUAUAUGUAAGUGUUAGAUAUAACACAGUCACUCAAAUUAACACUCAGAAUUAAUAUAGUCACCUAGUAACCUAAUAAGAGAAUAUUAAUUUCUACGUUUUGUAAUUAUUAAUCAAAGGCAUCCAUGGUGAGAGACAUUUUUUCAGUUUCAGAACAAGAUAUAUACCAAAUUAUAAAAUAAAAAUGAAACGAAAAACUUACCGGAUCAUAUGGCAACCAACCGGAACGGCUGAGAUGGAGCAUGCAUGCAUGCAUUAAUAUUUCUUAUUAUUUCCUUGACUUUGAAAUCAAAACCUCACAACUCAUUAUAUAAAUCUAUCUUGUUAAAAAAACAAGUACAACAUGUAUCAUUAAUCACUUAUUAUAAUUUUGACUAAAGUGCACUUUUCCCCCCCUAACUUUCAAAAACUUGCAAUUUUGACCCCCUAAGUACCAAAACCACAAUUUAACCCCCCUAAGAUUUAGCCCCAUUGCAACUUUGGUCCUUUUGACCAAUUUUGACCAAGUCAACGCCGAUUUGGCAUGCCACAUGUGUAUUUUUUAAUUUUCUUUUUUUUUUUAAAAGCCACAUAAUCAUUUAUUAAAUUAAAAAAAUAAAAAAAAAUCAGAAUUUUUAAAAAAAAUCAAAAAUUGAAGAUUUUUUUUUAAUUUCUGAUUUUUUAAUUUUCUUUUUUUUAAAAGCCACAUAAUCAUUUAUUAAAUUAGAAAAAUGAAAAAAGAAAUUGAAAAAUAAAAAAAAAAUCAGAAUUUUUAAAAAAAAUCAGAAAUUGAAGAACUUUUUUAAUUUUCUUUUCUAUUUUUUUUUAAUUUAUGAUUUUUAAUUUUUCAAUUUCUUUUUUCAUUUAUCUAAUUAUCAGAAACAAAAAAAAUAGAAAAGAAAAUUACAAAAAAUUCUUCAAUUUCUGAUUUUUUUUUUUAAUUUUUCAUUUUCUUUUUUAAUUUUUUUAAUUUAAUAAAUGAUUAUGUGGCUUUUAAAAAAUCAGAAAUUAAAAAAAAUUCUUCAAUUUCUGAUUUUUUUUUUAAUUUAAUAAAUGAUUAUGUGGCUUUUAAAAAAUCAGAAAUUUAAAAAAAGUAGAAAAGAAAAUUAAAAAAAAUUCUGAUUUAAAAAAAAUUCUUCAAUUUCUGAUUUUUUUUUUAAUUUUUCAAUUUCUUUUUUAAUUUUUUUAAUUUAAUAAAUGAUUAUGUGGCUUUUAAAAAAAAAGAAAAUUAAAAAAUACACAUGUGGCAUGCCAUAUCAGCGUUGGCUAGGUCAAAAUUGGUCAAAAGGAGGGCUAAAUCUUAGGGGGGCUAAAUUGUGGUUUUGGUACUUAGGGGGCCAAAAUUGCAAGUUUUUGAAAGUUAGAGGGGGAAAAGUGCACUUUAGCCUAUAAUUUUAUUAACCUCAUUAUCCACUUUGAAUGCUCCUUUUAUGAGUCUCUCGGUCCACUCCAUACUUCCUUUUACUCCCUCAAUGCCUUUUUUUACUCCCUCAAUAAGGGUAUUGUUUAGGAAAAAAAAGAGUCAUAAAUGCAUAUAGUAAUUUGAAAAAGGUUUUAUAUUUAGAGAUAAAUUUUUAGUCAAAACAGGGCUUAGAUAUAGGGACGGAAGAAGUAGAUGUUAACGAAGUCUAGCUUUGCUCGGGAGUUUGGAAGAAUAGGGAGGGCAUAAGAUUAAAUGCAAAAAUUGAAAAAUCUCUUAAAUUUUUUGAUUGAGUGUUUUUGAGGUAAAUGACACAUGGAUACUUAUAUUAAUGCACUUUUUAUUUUGGGAGUGUUGCAGUCCUUUGUCUCAUAUUUUAUAUUAAGUGUUUCAUUUGAGUUUUACACGGGUAUUAAAGAGAUGAUUAAUAGUUUUGAUCUUAAUAGUAAAAUAUGUGUUGUUUACUAAAACAUCUUUAUUAAUUAUAGUUAGUGGAGUAGUCAUAGAUGAUUCAAAUGCAACUAAUAAAAGUAUGUUGGAUAAUAGGAAUAUUUCUUGGAUUGAUUGGAACAUCAUUUGUAAGAUAAGGAGAUGAUGAGUGGUUUGGGGGUUAGGAGGAUUAGGAAGCUUAAUAUUGCUAUGUUAAGUAAAUGGUGACUGAGAGAGACCAAAUGUAGUUUAGAGUGUUGGCGGUGAGGUAUGAGGUUGGGGGGUGUAACAGUUCUAUUUGGUUGCAGCAAAUUGUGCAUAUUAGGGAGGGCGUUGGUUUUUGGCGGAGGGUUGGUUUGAAGAGGAUUUGAGUAGGAAGAUGGAGAAUGGGAAUGACACUUUUUUUUUUGUAAAGAUAUCUGGUUUGGGGAUGAAGUGUUGUGUGUUUGGUUCUAGCGUCUAUUUGAUCUAUCUUAUAACAAAUGAACAUCGGUGCAGAUAUUGAGCGGUUAGGGUGGGGGAAGGUGGGGGAUGCUUGGCGGUGGAGGAGGAGUUUGAGGACGUGGGGGGAGGACCUUUUAGUUGAGUGUCAGUUCCUGCUUCAUGAUGUGCCUUUGCAGGAUCUAUAAACAUAAUUUUGGUUUGAAGAAUACAAAAUAAUUAGAUCAUGCAUUACCUUUCAUUUAAAAUCCUUAUUAGCUAGUUUUCAAAGCAACAUAUGUGCAUUAAACUAAAAUAUUCACGUAAUCUCAUGAACUUUCUAGUCAUUAUCAGCAAUAAAUUUCCAAUCAUGUAUAUCAAGUUAUCAUCUAUCUACCAUAAUAUGCAUAUUCAAAAUAUGAUUUUCUAAUCAUAAAAGUUAUCAUAUGAUGAUAAUCAUGAAUUAAUGCAACACCUAACUAAAUCAUGAUGACAAAAAUACAUGCAGAACGUUAUACAGAACUAUAGUAAAGAAUUGGUUACUUUCAAUUCAAUGUGCAGUCUGUACAAAACAUUAUAUUGAAGCAUAUUCAAAUCAAAUAAAUAAGCUCUUAUAUUAAUACUCCAUUUAAAUGCCAGCGUAUUUCAUGAUUCAGACUAGUAAUAUAAUGUUUCAAAAAAAUUAUAAGAUCUUGUUUCAUCUGUCAUUGUCAUAUUUCAAUACCAUAAUAUAUAUAUUUGAUAGAUAGAAACUGAGACCAUAUACAGGAAGAAAAAUAACUGAAUUUGAAAUUUCAGAAAGAAAACAAUAGCAAAUGGAAAUAAUGUUAAACAAAAAUAAGAUUACUACGUCUUGGUCAAGCAUUUCUCUAGGCUUCCGACACUGUAGAACCUCUCUUGUUCCUUCACAGUAUGGUAUGUCUGAGACAAUCAAGACCUGUUUGCUGCAAAUACAAAAAAUGAACAGUUUAUGUCACUUCUAAUGUUUAUAUUUUUCUAAAAAACAAUAAUAUUAAAUAAAAUGUUAAAUGUAUGACUAACUCAUCAGUUGAAAGGCCAAACAACUAAGAUGCCAUAUCACAUUCGUCAGAGUUCAAAGUCAUUGCCUUCACUGGUUUAAAUACCGAAGACAGCCACUACAUGAACAUAUGGCAUAAAAAAAAAUUAAUGACGAAAAACUAUAAUAACAAUUAUACCAAAUGAGUAACAUAAAGGUAAAUUACUUACAUUAGGAAUAAAAGGUCCAUAUAAUUUACUGUGAGUGUCUUGGAUUUUCUGGGAUCUAAUGUAGAACCCAGUUGGAGUGCUGGUUACGACAAGAGGGCUGCUGCCAUUUUUGAUGAAUGUGGUCCAACCUGUGCCUCUGGCCACUCCCCUUGGCCUGUUGGAAAACAUGCUCUGGGGUUAUGAGGCACAUCGCCAUGGCAACAAUGGCGAUGAUGAUGACAGCAGCAAUGGCGACGAUGACAGCACUAAUGGCGAUGACAACAAUGGCCUUGCCAACAACAAUGGUUUUGCUGCUGACAACAAUGGUGGUGUUGACAACAAUGGUAACGCAAAUGGUUUUGCUGCUGACAACAAUGGUGGUGCUGACAACAAUGGUAACGCAAAUGGUAAUGGUGCUGCUCAUGACAACAAUGGAGUAGGGAAUCAAAAUGGUGUGUAAAUGGAUUUGAGGAUGAUCAGGUUGUAGGGAACUUUGUGCAGUGAACAUUGUGCAAGGCAUUUGUAUUUUUUGUUUGUUUGUGAGUUGUUUUUUUUUUUCUUCUAGAAUUGAAUGCUUCAGUGUUUGCAUGAAUUUAAAAAUACUUUUAGCAUUAUGGUGGUUGUUUUGCCUGGUAAAACCGGUGCUCAUUGUUUUUCCAUGCCAUGUGACUCAAACCCAUCUUAAUAUUGCCAAGUGUUGGUAAUUCAUGAGUAACUUGUGGAACAUUUCCUGUUAUAUGGAAUCUUUUUACUACAUGCGUUAUCUUGCAAGGUAACAUAAGUUUGUUGGAAAAGUUAUGAUUUAUUUUGCAAAGUAACAUUAACUUAUCAGCAUAUUCUAAACAUUAUUUUUCAUGGAGAAUAUCUCAUCUACUGCCAGAUCAUCAAAGAAUUUUCAGCACUUCUUUCACAGUCUCUUUCAAUUCAAGUGCUAGCUUCAUUGCCUUUAUUUUGCGGUAAAACUUUGUUUUGCUUUAGACAUUCCAAUUGAUAAGGGUUCAGAUGGCUUCCAAGUUAUAUUCUUUCAAACUUAUUGGCGCAUUGUUGGUUUUGAAAUAUGGUUUCUGAUGCUUUCUCUUCAAGUUAUAUUGAUCCUAAACUUGCAGAGACCUUGAUUGUACCUAUCCUGAAGAUUGAUAUAUAUACCCCAAAGUCUUAAGGAUUUCCGCCCUAUAAGUCCUUCAACACUAAUUUGAGGAACCAAAUAAUUGAAGAAAAUGAAAAAAACGUUGUGUGAAUGGAAAAUGGAAGGAGAGUGAAGGGACAUUAAGGGCCUGUUUGAAUGUGUUUUGAUUUUUAGUUUUUAAAAUCUAUUUUACAAAACAAUUUUAAAAACUGUUUUUUAGAAAAGAAAUGAAAAAUAAAAGUUGUUUGACAAUCUUAGUUUUGAAAACAGUUUUAAAUACGAGAGAAUGAUAAAACUUGUUUGGUGCUAUUACAUUUAAAAUAUCUUUUUUUUUUAAAUUAUCUUUCAAAAUAUAUUUUGAAAACUACAAAAUAUUGUCGGAUACAUAUUUCAGUUUUUAUAUCUCAUUUUAGUUCCUUAAAUUGAAUAACUCACUCAAUGGAAUUCCACGACUAGAAAUAAAGGACCAAACUUUAAUUAAGUUUUUUUAGAGGUGUAAUUGAGUUAUUAUAUUAUCAAAACAUGAGAUAUUAAUUAGUUUUUUUGUUAAUUAAAUAAAUGGUCGUUUAGGAAUCCCCCCUAAAGAACCUCCAUGAUACAACAGGAAUUGGAAGAAGAAAAAAAAACUAUACAAUUUCAACUAUGCAAGAAUUGAAAAAGUAAAGAAAAAACAUAAAUGCUAAACAUUCAUAGUUUUCAAGAAUCAAAAGAAAAUUAAUUAUCACUUGAGUAGAGAAGAAUGACGAUUGUUUUGUGAACAAAGAGAAAUAACUAGUCUUAUGGUAGGGCAACACAAUGCAUAUGAUUGGAAUAUUAAAAUUUACGUAAGGGUAUUAUUAUCCAAAAAAUAUCUCCACUUUUUGUCUCCUCUAAAAAGAUAUAUUUUUUAAGAAGCUACUUAUAACAUAUUAUAUAAGAGAAGGGUCUAAACUGCAAAACAUGAUUAUGAUGGUAUUGACAACAAUGGUAACGCAAAUGGUUUUGCUGCUGACAACAAUGGUGGUGCUGACAACAAUGGUAACGCAAAUGGUAAUGGUGCUGCUCAUGACAACAAUGGAGCAGGGAAUCAAAAUGGUGAGUAAAUGGAUUUGAGGAUGAUCAGGUUGCAGGGAACCUUUGUGCAGUGAACAUUGUGCAAGGCAUUUGUAUUUUUUGUUUGUUUGUGAGUUGUUUUUUUUUUCCUUCUAGAAUUGAAUGCUUCAGUGUUUUACACGAAUUUAAAAAUACUUUUAGCAUUAUGGUUGUUGUUUUGCCUGGUAAAACCGGUGCUCAUUGUUUUUCCAUGCCAUGUGACUCAAACCCAUCUUAAUAUUGCCAAGUGUUGGUAAUUCAUGAGUAACUUGUGGAACAUUUCCUGUCAUAUGGAAUCUUUUUACUACAUGCGUUAUCUUGCAAGGUAACAUAAGUUUGUUGGAAAAGUUUUGAUUUAUUUUGCAAGGUAACAUUAACUUAUCAGCAUAUUUUAAACAUUAUUUUUUCAUGGAGAAUUUCUUAUCUGCUGCCAGAUCAUCAAAGAAUUUCAGCACUUCUUUCACAGUCUCUUUCAAUUCAAGUGCUAGCUUCAUUGCCUUUAUUUUGCGGUAAAACUUUGUUUUGCUUUAGACAUUCCAAUUGAUAAGGGUUCAGAUGGCUUCCAAGUUAUAUUCUUUAAAACUUAUUGGCGCAUUGUUGGUUUUGAAAUAUGGUUUCUGAUGCUUUCUCUUCAAGUUAUAUUGAUCCUAAACUUGCAGAGACCUUGAUUGUACCUAUCCUGAAGAUUGAUAUAUAUACCCCAAAGUCUUAAGGAUUUCCGCCCUAUAAGUCCUUCAACACUAAUUUGAGGAACCAAAUAAUUGAAGAAAAUGAAAAAAACGUUGUGUGAAUGGAAAAUGGAAGGAGAGUGAAGGGACAUUAAGGGCCUGUUUGAAUGUGUUUUGAUUUUUAGUUUUUGAAAUCUAUUUUACAAAACAAUUUUAAAAACUGUUUUUAAGAAAAAAAUGAAAAAUAAAAGUUGUUUGACAAUCUUAGUUUUGAAAACAGUUUUAAAUACGAGAGAAUGAUAAAACUUGUUUGGUACUAUUACAUUUAAAAUAUCUUUUUUUUUUUAAAUUAUCUUUCAAAAUAUAUUUUGAAAACUACAAAAUAUUGUCGGAUACAUAUUUCAGUUUUUAUAUCUCAUUUUAGUUCCUUAAAUUGAAUAACUCACUCAAUGGAAUUCCACGACUAGAAAUAAAGGACCAAACUUUAAUUAAGUUUUUUUAGAGGUGUAAUUGAGUUAUUAUAUUAUCAAAACAUGAGAUAUUAAUUAGUUUUUUUGUUAAUUAAAUAAAUGGUCGUUUAGGAAUCCCCCCUAAAGAACCUCCAUGAUACAACAGGAAUUGGAAGAAGAAAAAAAAACUAUACAAUUUCAACUAUGCAAGAAUUGAAAAAGUAAAGAAAAAACAUAAAUGCUAAACAUUCAUAGUUUUCAAGAAUCAAAAGAAGAUUAAUUAUCACUUGAGCAGAGAAGAAUGACGAUUGUUUUGUGAAGAAAGAGAAAUAACUAGUCUUAUGGUAGGGCAACACAAUGCAUAUGAUUGGAAUAUUAAAAUUUACGUAAGGGUAUUAUUAUACAAAAAAUAUCUCCACUUUUUGACACUUAUUUUUUGUCUCCUCUAAAAAGAUAUAUUUUUUAAGAAGCUACUUAUAACAUAUUAUAUAAGAGAAGGGUCUAAACUGCAAAACAUGAUAAUGAUGGUGUUGACAACAAUGGUAACGCAAAUGGUUUUGCUGCUGACAACAAUGGUGCUGCUGACAACAAUGGUAACGCAAAUUGUAAUGGUGCUGCUCAUGACAACAAUGGAGCAGGGAAUCAAAAUGGUGUGUAAAUGGAUUUGAGGAUGACCAGGUUGCAGGGAACCUUUGUGCAGUGAACAUUGUGCAAGGCAUUUCUAUUUUUUGUUUGUUUGUGAGUUGUUUUUUUUUUCUUCUAGAAUUGAAUGCUUCAGUGUUUUACACAAAUUUAAAAAUCCUUUUAGCAUUAUGGUGGUUGUUUUGCCUGGUAAAACCGGUGCUCAUUGUUUUUCCAUGCCAUGUGACUCAAACCCAUCUUAAUAUUGCCAAGUGUUGGUAAUUCAUGAGUAACUUGUGGAACAUUUCCUGUCAUAUGGAAUCUUUUUACUACAUGCGUUAUCUUGCAAGGUAACAUAAGUUUGUUGGAAAAGUUUUGAUUUAUUUUGCAAGGUAACAUUAACUUAUCAGCAUAUUUUAAACAUUAUUUUUCAUGGAGAAUUUCUUAUCUGCUGCCAGAUCAUCAAAGAAUUUUCUGCACUUCUUUCACAGUCUCUUUCAAUUCAAGUGCUAGCUUCAUUGCCUUUAUUUUGCGGUAAAACUUUGUUUUGCUUUAGACAUUCCAAUUGAUAAGGGUUCAGAUGGCGUCCAAGUUAUAUUCUUUAAAACUUAUUGGCGCAUUUUUGGUUUUGAAAUAUGGUUUCUGAUGCUUUCUCUUCAAGUUAUAUUGAUCCUAAACUUGCAGAGACCUUGAUUGUACCUAUCCUGAAGAUUGAUAUAUAUACCCCAAAGUCUUAAGGAUUUCCGCCCUAUAAGUCCUUCAACACUAAUUUGAGGAACCAAAUAAUUGAAGAAAAUGAAAAAAACGUUGUGUGAAUGGAAAAUGGAAGGAGAGUGAAGGGACAUUAAGGGCAUGUUUGAAUGUGUUUUGAUUUUUAGUUUUUGAAAUCUAUUUUACAAAACAAUUUUAAAAACUGUUUUUAAGAAAAAAAUGAAAAAUAAAAGUUGUUUGGCAAUCUUAGUUUUGAAAACAGUUUUAAAUACGAGAGAAUGAUAAAACUUGUUUGGUACUAUUACAUUUAAAAUAUCUUUUUUUUUUAAAUUAUCUUUCAAAAUAUAUUUUGAAAACUACAAAAUAUUGUCGGAUACAUAUUUCAAUUUUUAUAUCUCAUUUUAGUUCCUUAAAUUGAAUAACUCACUCAAUGGAAUUCCACGACUAGAAAUAAAGGACCAAACUUUAAUUAAGUUUUUUUAGAGGUGUAAUUGAAUUAUUAUAUUAUCAAAACAUGAGAUAUUAAUUAGUUUUUUUGUUAAUUAAAUAAAUGGUCGUUUAGGAAUCCCCCCUAAAGAACCUCCAUGAUACAACAGGAAUUGGAAGAAGAAAAAAAAACUAUACAAUUUCAACUAUGCAAGAAUUGAAAAAGUAAAGAAAAAACAUAAAUGCUAAACAUUCAUAGUUUUCAAGAAUCAAAAGAAGAUUAAUUAUCACUUGAGCAGAGAAGAAUGACGAUUGUUUUGUGAACAAAGAGAAAUAACUAGUCUUAUGGUAGGGCAACACAAUGCAUAUGAUUGGAAUAUUAAAAUUUACGUAAGGGUAUUAUUAUCCAAAAAAUAUCUCCACUUUUUGACACUUAUUUUUUGUCUCCUCUAAAAAGAUAUAUUUUUUAAGAAGCUACUUAUAACAUAUUAUAUAAGAGAAGAGUCUAAACAGCAAAACAUGAUAAUGAUGGUAUUGACAACAAUGGUAAUGCAAAUGGUUUUGCUGCUGACAACAAUGGUGGUGCUGACAACAAUGGUAACGCAAAUAGUAAUGGUGCUUCUCAUGACAACAAUGGAGCAGGGAAUCAAAAUGGUGAGUAAAUGGAUUUGAGGAUGAUCAGGUUGCAGGGAACCUUUGUGCAGUGAACAUUGUGCAAGGCAUUUGUAUUUUUUGUUUGUUUGUGAGUUGUUUUUUUUUCCUUCUAGAAUUGAAUGCUUCAGUGUUUUACACGAAUUUAAAAAUACUUUUAGCAUUAUGGUGGUUGUUUUGCCUGGUAAAACCGGUGCUCAUUGUUUUUCCAUGCCAUGUGACUCAAACCCAUCUUAAUAUUGCCAAGUGUUGGUAAUUCAUGAGUAACUUGUGGAACAUUUCCUGUCAUAUGGAAUCUUUUUACUACAUGCGUUAUCUUGCAAGGUAACAUAAGUUUGUUGGAAAAGUUUUGAUUUAUUUUGCAAGGUAACAUUAACUUAUCAGCAUAUUUUAAACAUUAUUUUUCAUGGAGAAUUUCUUAUCUGCUGCCAGAUCAUCAAAGAAUUUUCAGCACUUCUUUCACAGUCUCUUUCAAUUCAAGUGCUAGCUUCAUUGCCUUUACUUUGCGGUAAAACUUUGUUUUGCUUUAGACAUUCCAAUUGAUAAGGGUUCAGAUGGCGUCCAAGUUAUAUUCUUUAAAACUUAUUGGCGCAUUUUUGGUUUUGAAAUAUGGUUUCUGAUGCUUUCUCUUCAAGUUAUAUUGAUCCUAAACUUGCAGAGACCUUGAUUGUACCUAUCCUGAAGAUUGAUAUAUAUACCCCAAAGUCUUAAGGAUUUCCGCCCUAUAAGUCCUUCAACACUAAUUUGAGGAACCAAAUAAUUGAAGAAAAUGAAAAAAACGUUGUGUGAAUGGAAAAUGGAAGGAGAGUGAGGGGACAUUAAGGGCCUGUUUGAAUGUGUUUUGAUUUUUAGUUUUUGAAAUCUAUUUUACAAAACAAUUUUAAAAACUGUUUUUAAGAAAAAAAUGAAAAAUAAAAGUUGUUUGACAAUCUUAGUUUUGAAAACAGUUUUAAAUACGAGAGAAUGAUAAAACUUGUUUGGUACUAUUACAUUUAAAAUAUCUUUUUUUUUUUUAAAUUAUCUUUCAAAAUAUAUUUUGAAAACUACAAAAUAUUGUCGGAUACAUAUUUCAGUUUUUAUAUCUCAUUUUAGUUCCUUAAAUUGAAUAACUCACUCAAUGGAAUUCCACGACUAGAAAUAAAGGACCAAACUUUAAUUAAGUUUUUUUAGAGGUGUAAUUGAGUUAUUAUAUUAUCAAAACAUGAGAUAUUAAUUAGUUUUUUUGUUAAUUAAAUAAAUGGUCGUUUAGGAAUCCCCCCUAAAGAACCUCCAUGAUACAACAGGAAUUGGAAGAAGAAAAAAAAACUAUACAAUUUCAACUAUGCAAGAAUUGAAAAAGUAAAGAAAAAACAUAAAUGCUAAACAUUCAUAGUUUUCAAGAAUCAAAAGAAGAUUAAUUAUCACUUGAGCAGAGAAGAAUGACGAUUGUUUUGUGAAGAAAGAGAAAUAACUAGUCUUAUGGUAGGGCAACACAAUGCAUAUGAUUGGAAUAUUAAAAUUUACGUAAGGGUAUUAUUAUCCAAAAAAUAUCUCCCUUUUUGUCUCCUCUAAAAAGAUAUAUUUUUUAAGAAGCUACUUAUAACAUAUUAUAUAAGAGAAGGGUCUAAACUGCAAAACAUGAUUAUGAUGGUAUUGACAACAAUGGUAACGCAAAUGGUUUUGCUGCUGACAACAAUGGUGGUGCUGACAACAAUGGUAACGCAAAUGGUAAUGGUGCUGCUCAUGACAACAAUGGAGCAGGGAAUCAAAAUGGUGAGUAAAUGGAUUUGAGGAUGAUCAGGUUGCAGGGAACCUUUGUGCAGUGAACAUUGUGCAAGGCAUUUGUAUUUUUUGUUUGUUUGUGAGUUGUUUUUUUUUUCCUUCUAGAAUUGAAUGCUUCAGUGUUUUACACGAAUUUAAAAAUACUUUUAGCAUUAUGGUUGUUGUUUUGCCUGGUAAAACCGGUGCUCAUUGUUUUUCCAUGCCAUGUGACUCAAACCCAUCUUAAUAUUGCCAAGUGUUGGUAAUUCAUGAGUAACUUGUGGAACAUUUCCUGUCAUAUGGAAUCUUUUUACUACAUGCGUUAUCUUGCAAGGUAACAUAAGUUUGUUGGAAAAGUUUUGAUUUAUUUUGCAAGGUAACAUUAACUUAUCAGCAUAUUUUAAACAUUAUUUUUCAUGGAGAAUUUCUUAUCUGCUGCCAGAUCAUCAAAGAAUUUUCAGCACUUCUUUCACAGUCUCUUUCAAUUCAAGUGCUAGCUUCAUUGCCUUUAUUUUGCGGUAAAACUUUGUUUUGCUUUAGACAUUCCAAUUGAUAAGGGUUCAGAUGGCUUCCAAGUUAUAUUCUUUAAAACUUAUUGGCGCAUUGUUGGUUUUGAAAUAUGGUUUCUGAUGCUUUCUCUUCAAGUUAUAUUGAUCCUAAACUUGCAGAGACCUUGAUUGUACCUAUCCUGAAGAUUGAUAUAUAUACCCCAAAGUCUUAAGGAUUUCCGCCCUAUAAGUCCUUCAACACUAAUUUGAGGAACCAAAUAAUUGAAGAAAAUGAAAAAAACGUUGUGUGAAUGGAAAAUGGAAGGAGAGUGAAGGGACAUUAAGGGCAUGUUUGAAUGUGUUUUGAUUUUUAGUUUUUGAAAUCUAUUUUACAAAACAAUUUUAAAAACUGUUUUUAAGAAAAAAAUGAAAAAUAAAAGUUGUUUGGCAAUCUUAGUUUUGAAAACAGUUUUAAAUACGAGAGAAUGAUAAAACUUGUUUGGUACCAUUACAUUUAAAAUAUCUUUUUUUUUUAAAUUAUCUUUCAAAAUAUAUUUUGAAAACUACAAAAUAUUGUCGGAUACAUAUUUCAGUUUUUAUAUCUCAUUUUAGUUCCUUAAAUUGAAUAACUCACUCAAUGGAAUUCCACGACUAGAAAUAAAGGACCAAACUUUAAUUAAGUUUUUUUAGAGGUGUAAUUGAAUUAUUAUAUUAUCAAAACAUGAGAUAUUAAUUAGUUUUUUUGUUAAUUAAAUAAAUGGUCGUUUAGGAAUCCCCCCUAAAGAACCUCCAUGAUACAACAGGAAUUGGAAGAAGAAAAAAAAACUAUACAAUUUCAACUAUGCAAGAAUUGAAAAAGUAAAGAAAAAACAUAAAUGCUAAACAUUCAUAGUUUUCAAGAAUCAAAAGAAGAUUAAUUAUCACUUGAGCAGAGAAGAAUGACGAUUGUUUUGUGAAGAAAGAGAAAUAACUAGUCUUAUGGUAGGGCAACACAAUGCAUAUGAUUGGAAUAUUAAAAUUUACUUACAUUAGGAAUAAAAGGUCCAUAUAAUUUACUGUGAGUGUCUUGGAUUUUUUGGGAUCUAAUGUAGAACCCAGUUGGAGUGCUGGUUACGACAAGAGGGCUGCUGCCAUUUUUGAUGAAUGUGGUCCAACCUGUGCCUCUGGCCGCUCCCCUUGGCCUGUUGGAAAACAUGCUCUGGGGUUAUGAGGCACAUCGCCAUGGCAACAAUGGCGAUGAUGAUGACAGCAGCAAUGGCGACGAUGACAGCACUAAUGGCGAUGACAACAAUGGCCUUGCCAACAACAAUGGUUUUGCUGCUGACAACAAUGGUGGUGUUGACAACAAUGGUAACGCAAAUGGUUUUGCUGCUGACAACAAUGGUGGUGCUGACAACAAUGGUAACGCAAAUGGUAAUGGUGCUGCUCAUGACAACAAUGGAGUAGGGAAUCAAAAUGGUGUGUAAAUGGAUUUGAGGAUGAUCAGGUUGUAGGGAACUUUGUGCAGUGAACAUUGUGCAAGGCAUUUGUAUUUUUUGUUUGUUUGUGAGUUGUUUUUUUUUUCAUCUAGAAUUGAAUGCUUCAGUGUUUGCACGAAUUUAAAAAUACUUUUAGCAUUAUGGUGGUUGUUUUGCCUGGUAAAACCGGUGCUCAUUGUUUUUCCAUGCCAUGUGACUCAAACCCAUCUUAAUAUUGCCAAGUGUUGGUAAUUCAUGAGUAACUUGUGGAACAUUUCCUGUCAUAUGGAAUCUUUUUACUACAUGCGUUAUCUUGCAAGGUAACAUAAGUUUGUUGGAAAAGUUUUGAUUUAUUUUGCAAGGUAACAUUAACUUAUCAGCAUAUUUUAAACAUUAUUUUUCAUGGAGAAUUUCUUAUCUGCUGCCAGAUCAUCAAAGAAUUUUCAGCACUUCUUUCACAGUCUCUUUCAAUUCAAGUGCUAGCUUCAUUGCCUUUAUUUUGCGGUAAAACUUUGUUUUGCUUUAGACAUUCCAAUUGAUAAGGGUUCAGAUGGCUUCCAAGUUAUAUUCUUUAAAACUUAUUGGCGCAUUGUUGGUUUUGAAAUAUGGUUUCUUAUGCUUUCUCUUCAAGUUAUAUUGAUCCUAAACUUGCAGAGACCUUGAUUGUACCUAUCCUGAAGAUUGAUAUAUAUACCCUAAAGUCUUAAGGAUUUCCGCCCUAUAAGUCCUUCAACACUAAUUUGAGGAACCAAAUAAUUGAAGAAAAUGAAAAAAACGUUGUGUGAAUGGAAAAUGGAAGGAGAGUGAAGGGACAUUAAGGGCCUGUUUGAAAGUGUUUUGAUUUUUAGUUUUUGAAAUCUAUUUUACAAAACAAUUUUAAAAACUGUUUUUAAGAAAAAAAUGAAAAAUAAAAGUUGUUUGGCAAUCUUAGUUUUGAAAACAGUUUUAAAUACGAGAGAAUGAUAAAACUUGUUUGGUACUAUUACAUUUAAAAUAUCUUCUUUUUUUUUAAAAAUUAUCUUUCAAAAUAUAUUUUGAAAACUACAAAAUAUUGUCGGAUACAUAUUUCAGUUUUUAUAUCUCAUUUUAGUUCCUUAAAUUGAAUAACUCACUCAAUGGAAUUCCACGACUAGAAAUAAAGGACCAAACUUUAAUUAAGUUUUUUUAGAGGUGUAAUUGAGUUAUUAUAUUAUCAAAACAUGAGAUAUUAAUUAUUUUUUUGUUAAUUAAAUAAAUGGUCGUUUAGGAAUCCCCCCUAAAGAACCUCCAUGAUACAACAGGAAUUGGAAGAAGAAAAAAAAACAAUACAAUUUCAACUAUGCAAGAAUUGAAAAAGUAAAGAAAAAACAUAAAUGCUAAACAUUCAUAGUUUUCAACAAUCAAAAGAAGAUUAAUUAUCACUUGAGCAGAGAAGAAUGACGAUUGUUUUGUGAACAAAGAGAAAUAACUAGUCUUAUGGUAGGGCAACACAAUGCAUAUGAUUGGAAUAUUAAAAUUUACGUAAGGGUAUUAUUAUACAAAAAAUAUCUCCACUUUUUGACACUUAUUUUUUGUCUCCUCUAAAAAGAUAUAUUUUUUAAGAAGCUACUUAUAACAUAUUAUAUAAGAGAAGGGUCUAAACUGCAAAACAUGAUAAUGAUGGUGUUGACAACAAUGGUAAUGCAAAUGGUUUUGCUGCUGACAACAAUGGUGCUGCUGACAACAAUGGUAACGCAAAUUGUAAUGGUGCUGCUCAUGACAACAAUGGAGCAGGGAAUCAAAAUGGUGUGUAAAUGGAUUUGAGGAUGACCAGGUUGCAGGGAACCUUUGUGCAGUGAACAUUGUGGAAGGCAUUUGUAUUUUUUGUUUGUUUGUGAGUUGUUUUUUUUUUCUUCUAGAAUUGAAUGCUUCAGUGUUUUACACAAAUUUAAAAAUCCUUUUAGCAUUAUGGUGGUUGUUUUGCCUGGUAAAACCGGUGCUCAUUGUUUUUCCAUGCCAUGUGACUCAAACCCAUCUUAAUAUUGCCAAGUGUUGGUAAUUCAUGAGUAACUUGUGGAACAUUUCCUGUCAUAUGGAAUCUUUUUACUACAUGCGUUAUCUUGCAAGGUAACAUAAGUUUGUUGGAAAAGUUUUGAUUUAUUUUGCAAGGUAACAUUAACUUAUCAGCAUAUUUUAAACAUUAUUUUUCAUGGAGAAUUUCUUAUCUGCUGCCAGAUCAUCAAAGAAUUUUCAGCACUUCUUUCACAGUCUCUUUCAAUUCAAGUGCUAGCUUCAUUGCCAUUAUUUUGCGGUAAAACUUUGUUUUGCUUUAGACAUUCCAAUUGAUAAGGGUUCAGAUGGCUUCCAAGUUAUAUUCUUUAAAACUUAUUGGCGCAUUGUUGGUUUUGAAAUAUGGUUUCUUAUGCUUUCUCUUCAAGUUAUAUUGAUCCUAAACUUGCAGAGACCUUGAUUGUACCUAUCCUGAAGAUUGAUAUAUAUACCCCAAAGUCUUAAGGAUUUCCGCCCUAUAAGUCCUUCAACACAAAUUUGAGGAACCAAAUAAUUGAAGAAAAUGAAAAAAACGUUGUGUGAAUGGAAAAUGGAAGGAGAGCGAAGGGACAUUAAGGGCCUGUUUGAAUGUGUUUUGAUUUUUAGUUUUUGAAAUCUAUUUUACAAAACAAUUUUAAAAACUGUUUUUAAGAAAAAAAUGAAAAAUAAAAGUUGUUUGGCAAUCUUAGUUUUGAAAACAGUUUUAAAUACGAGAGAAUGAUAAAACUUGUUUGGUACUAUUACAUUUAAAAUAUCUUUUUUUUUUUUUAAAAUUAUCUUUCAAAAUAUAUUUUGAAAACUACAAAAUAUUGUCGGAUACAUAUUUCAGUUUUUAUAUCUCAUUUUAGUUCCUUAAAUUGAAUAACUAACUCAAUGGAAUUCCACGACUAGAAAUAAAGGACCAAACUUUAAUUAAGUUUUUUUAGAGGUGUAAUUGAGUUAUUAUAUUAUCAAAACAUGAGAUAUUAAUUAGUUUUUUUGUUAAUUAAAUAAAUGUUUGUUUAGGAAUCCCCCUAAAGAACCUCCAUGAUACAACAGGAAUUGGAAGAAGAAAAAAAAACUAUACAAUUUCAACUAUGCAAGAAUUGAAAAAGUAAAGAAAAAACAUAAAUGCUAAACAUUCAUAGUUUUCAAGAAUCAAAAGAAGAUUAAUUAUCACUUGAGCAGAGAAGAAUGACGAUUGUUUUGUGAACAAAGAGAAAUAACUAGUCUUAUGGUAGGGCAACACAAUCCAUAUGAUUGGAAUAUUAAAAUUUACGUAAGGGUAUUAUUAUACAAAAAAUAUCUCCACUUUUUGACACUUAUUUUUUGUCUCCUCUAAAAAGAUAUAUUUUUUAAGAAGCUACUUAUAACAUAUUAUAUAAGAGAAAAGUCUAAACAGCAAAACAUGAUAAUGAUGGUAUUGACAACAAUGGUAACGCAAAUGGUUUUGUUGCUGACAACAAUGGUGGUGCUGACAACAAUGGUAACGCAAAUAGUAAUGGUGCUUCUCAUGACAACAAUGGAGCAGGGAAUCAAAAUGGUGUGUAAAUGGAUUUGAGGAUGACCAGGUUGCAGGGAACCUUUGUGCAGUGAACAUUGUGCAAGACAUUUGUAUUUUUUGUUUGUUUGUGAGUUGUUUUUUUUUUCUUCUACAAUUGAAUGCUUCAGUGUUUUACACGAAUUUAAAAAUACUUUUAGCAUUAUGGUGGUUGUUUUGCCUGGUAAAACCGGUGCUCAUUGUUUUUCCAUGCCAUGUGACUCAAACCCAUCUUAAUAUUGCCAAGUGUUGGUAAUUCAUGAGUAACUUGUGGAACAUUUCCUGUCAUAUGGAAUCUUUUUACUACAUGCGUUAUCUUGCAAGGUAACAUAAGUUUGUUGGAAAAGUUUUGAUUUAUUUUGCAAGGUAACAUUAACUUAUCAGCAUAUUCUAAACAUUAUUUUUCAUGGAGAAUUUCUUAUCUGCUGCCAGAUCAUCAAAGAAUUUUCAGCACUUCUUUCACAGUCUCUUUCAAUUCAAGUGCUAGCUUCAUUGCCUUUACUUUGCGGUAAAACUUUGUUUUGCUUUAGACAUUCCAAUUGAUAAGGGUUCAGAUGGCUUCCAAGUUAUAUUCUUUAAAACUUAUUGGCGCAUUGUUGGUUUUGAAAUAUGGUUUCUGAUGCUUUCUCUUCAAGUUAUAUUGAUCCUAAACUUGCAGAGACCUUGAUUGUACCUAUCCUGAAGAUUGAUAUAUAUACCCCAAAGUCUUAAGGAUUUCCGCCCUAUAAGUCCUUCAACACUAAUUUGAGGAACCAAAUAAUUGAAGAAAAUGAAAAAAACGUUGUGUGAAUGGAAAAUGGAAGGAGAGUGAAGGGACAUUAAGGGCCUGUUUGAAUGUGUUUUGAUUUUUAGUUUUUGAAAUCUAUUUUACAAAACAAUUUUAAAAACUGUUUUUAAGAAAAAAAUGAAAAAUAAAAGUUGUUUGACAAUCUUAGUUUUGAAAACAGUUUUAAAUACGAGAGAAUGAUAAAACUUGUUUGGUACUAUUACAUUUAAAAUAUCUUUUUUUUUUUUAAAUUAUCUUUCAAAAUAUAUUUUGAAAACUACAAAAUAUUGUCGGAUACAUAUUUCAGUUUUUAUAUCUCAUUUUAGUUCCUUAAAUUGAAUAACUCACUCAAUGGAAUUCCACGACUAGAAAUAAAGGACCAAACUUUAAUUAAGUUUUUUUAGAGGUGUAAUUGAGUUAUUAUAUUAUCAAAACAUGAGAUAUUAAUUAGUUUUUUUGUUAAUUAAAUAAAUGGUCGUUUAGGAAUCCCCCCUAAAGAACCUCCAUGAUACAACAGGAAUUGGAAGAAGAAAAAAAAAACUAUACAAUUUCAACUAUGCAAGAAUUGAAAAAGUAAAGAACAAACAUAAAUGCUAAACAUUCAUAGUUUUCAAGAAUCAAAAGAAGAUUAAUUAUCACUUGAGCAGAGAAGAAUGACGAUUGUUUUGUGAACAAAGAGAAAUAACUAGUCUUAUGGUAGGGCAACACAAUGCAUAUGAUUGAAAUAUUAAAAUUUACGUAAGGGUAUUAUUAUCCAAAAAAUAUCUCCACUUUUUGACACUUAUUUUUUGUCUCCUCUAAAAAGAUAUAUUUUUUUAAGAAGCUAUUUAUAACAUAUUAUAUAAGAGAAGGGUCUAAACUGCAAAACAUGAUAAUGAUGGUGUAUGUACCAAGUAUAUUGCAUCAAGUGUAUCCAUAUCCAAUUGUUUUGCCUAUUAGAAAAUAAUAAUGUCACCUCCCUUUUAAUAUUCUCCCAUUCAAACAUAAUUCGCCUCCUAGCUAAGGAAAUGUUCAACAUAAUCCCUCCUAUCUUAUCACAUCAUGAUGAACCACUGCUUCUUUCGCCAUAGAUAUGUUGUUCAACCAGUUAGGUUGUUCAAAUAAUUUUUCUCUUUAUUUUAGUGGUUGACCGCGUUCUUUCUUUCAAGUUACACUGAAAUAUUGAAUUUUCUUCCGAAUGACUCAAUCCAUUAUAGACCAAGUAUUCUUUUAUACUAGUUUAUUCGUUGUAAACUGUAGUUACAUUAUAGUCUUUCAUUUACAUAGAAAUUUUGAAUUUUCACCCAAAAGACUUAAUCCAUUAUAAAUCAAGUAUUCUUUAAUCUACCUAUUCAGGUGUCACGAGUAUUCAUUCCUUAACUUCUCCAUACUUCAUGAGUACUGUUUCCUCUGCCUCUUCAGGCUACACCCUAUUCUUCGUCUAGUAUUCUCAACACUUCUGCCUUGUUGAGGUACCAAAUGUUUAUCUAUCACUUUAAAGUGUUCUUAAAUGAUAAAUGUUGUUGUCACUGCUGGGAUGAAUUACAAGGAUUUAAGGUUGUACUUGUAUUGGUACAAAAUCAAAAGACUUUAACUCUCUCAUUUGAGAGGAUAUUAUAUUUCAAUCUUAUAUCAAUUCAAAUGUACGAAACUACUUAAUUGAUUUACAUCAUGAUCUGAUAAAUAUCAUCAUAGAGAACUUUGUAAUAAGCUUUUUGCAUGUUUAUGGUUUUUUCUAGAUAUUUCAUUUUCUCUUUGAGCAUGCCUUUUUUUUCUUCUUUUCUAUUUUUCAUGGAAGUUCAUUAGAACCAUCUUACUGAGACUUUCAUCAUACGAUACAAGUUGUCGUAUAUAUGUUGUACACCCAAAAGUGAAAAUCACUACCGUAUGCAUGAGGAAUUUCAAACCACCAUCCCAAGAAAACAUCCACCUAACACCAAAAGCAAGAGGACCCAAUUCUAAUAGGCCUAAAACAAGACAACAGAAAAGGAAAGUGGAAACCUGGGGAGUAGUGGGAUAGUACUUAAUAGUACUACUUAUCUAUAAUUUUUUUUUUAGGUCCAUACCUUGAGGAGACCCAACUUCAUUGAACGGUUUAUACACCCAAGGUCAGGCCCUGAUUCAGAUGAUUGCGAUAAUUCCUUACACCUGUCUUGUUGAUUAUUCUAAAAUCACCCUAAAACUGUACCAGCAAAUUUGAUUCAUCAAAGAGAAAUGUUGCUUUCAUGCUUAUAUGAGAUAGUUAUUUAACAAUUGUAUACUACAUAAUUUGAUUGCUUUGUAGCUUAUGUUUCAACUUCCUGAGUCCAUUAUUUUUGCCUCUAGCUUUUGUGCUUUCUUUGCUUAUCCUCUUCCUCGACAGAAGAGAAGAGAAAAACAUGGUAACACUUUUGGCUAACACAUGAACGUGGUCUUCUGCACUUUGAACACUGAAUUGUCACUAUAGUUUUGAGUACCAUCAACUUUAGUUAUUUUGUGCCUCAUGUUGACAUUUAAUUAUUACUCCUUUCAGUAGACAUAGCUUUAUUUUUGGGAACGGUGGCCAUAGCCACUUGCAUUUUGUGAAUUAUGCAUAUUUACUUGCAUUAUUAAGUUUGUUGUCGGUCAUAAAUAAUCUUUGGGCACUACUUGGAUUUUUUCUUUUUAGCGUUGGAUAGAACCAAUUCAUUGGAUUGAAUAUGAUUUUGAAGAUUUUAUUAGUUAUUACUCUACCAAAAAUGUAUCAAAAGUCAAAACUAAUUUUAAUUAAUUUUUCUUCUGAUACUCUAAAUGUACAAGUGACCACUCAAAAUAAGGUUUGAUACGUCAGCAACCUCAUUUAUUUGUCUUUUAACUUCAAAUUUGAUUUGAUUGAUAAUAUGUGACGAAUAUCCUCUCCAUGUACUCCAAAGUAGCAAAGGAGUGAGAGUUGAAUCUAUCAAAGUAUGUAUUUCAAAAUAAAUGACAAAAUAUACUUCCUCUAGUCACAUCUAUAAGCAAAAAACAACUUUUUAAUUAGGUUCAUUUAAUAACUAAUGUAUCUAAUUUAUAAAUGUUACUAGAUACAUUAAUUAUUCAAUGAAUCUAAAAAGUUGUUUUUUGAUUAUAAAUAUGAUUGGAAGUCGUAAAGGGUAAUAGCAACAAAUACACCGAGAGCAUUAUUUAAGAAAUCAAUGAGAGAGAAUUUCAUUUUAAAAAUGCAAUUCAAAUAUUUGUAAAAGACAUAAAUACAUUAUUUUCUAUCCAAUGAUUCCUUUAUCAAUGUCCUAAAAAUAUUUGUUAUAAUUUUUUAAAUAUUAAUCUAGAUUUUUGAUGAGUUAAAUGCUCUCAGAAGUCCCAAAAAGUUCCUACCUCGCAUCCUUACAAAUCAUUAAUAUGCCUAUAUUCCACUAAAAGCUAGUUAAGAAUAUCCAACUCAAUUCAUCCACUAAAACAUAAAAACCAUUAAAUUCAUCAAUUAUCCUCACCCACACUUUUUGAAAGGCUAAUUUCACUUUUGGCCCAUAAUCUUUUUAAAAUUGUGAUUUAGACCCCAUAAUUAAUUAAAAUACAAAACAACCCUCUAUGUAUUGGAUAUUUGGCAGUUUUGGCCCUCAAGACCACUUUUAAAUUAGUCUUCGAUGACGUGACACCCACAAUGGUCGACACAGGCACCUCACUUAAGGGAUGUGGGUGCCACGUCAGCAAAGAGUAAGUCAAAAGUGGUCUUGAGGGCCAAAGCUGCCAAAGAUCCAAUACGUAAGGGCUGUUUUGUAUUUAAUUAAUUAGGGACCAAAAUCGCAACUUUUGAAAAGAUAGGGGUCAAAAGUGCAAUUAAGCCCUUUUUAAAAUACUGUCUAAAAAGGUACUCAUACCAAAAUCGUUCCAAAUCAAAACAUGUUUAAUUAUAAAAAAUUUAUGCUAUGGAUCGUCCAAAAAAACUCAUGUACAUGCGAUCACUUCCACCCUCAUUAUCCUCAGGUGGUAUAACCAUAGUUGGUGGUGUUUUAUUUUCUAUAGUACAAAAAAACCCAAAUCCACGAAAGAAAAAAAAAAAAAGAAGGUCAAAUGGGAUGGAUUCUUUGAUUUUUUUUUUUAAACAACAAAAUUUAUUAAUAAACCAGAUCUCCGUACGAGACGAACAGAGUUCGGUAACACCGAAAGUACAUCAAAAAAUGCCGUAUAUAGGCGGAACAUCUAAAGAAAAGUACAAAAUAAAUACCAAUAGAGACACAAUACCACCUAAGGCUAACAUCAACCCCAAUAAAAACAAAUCUCCAAACCCAAAAGCAACACCAAAACCAUCCAACCAAAACCAUCAACACCAUCGUACAUGCCGAAACCCCUAUCAAUUAAGGGCAAGAUAAUGAUUUGUUUUGCAAAUGUUCAGAUUCGACCACCAAUCAACUUCCGGUCUGUCGGAGAAGACACCAAAAUAAGCCUAAAAAGACCCGAGUCAAAAAGCUGGCUUCCGAUCUCGAAUCAAAAGUGAUCGGCCCACCAGACCGGCAACACAAAUCACUAGGCACCCCUCAACUCUCGAAUCACCAGAGCAUACACCUCAAUCUAUCCAACAACUUGACAGCUAUACUCUAACUUCCGAUCUCGAAGCAAAAGUGAUCGGCCCAUCAUUAUCCAGAUGACAAAUUCGUAAGACAGACACAAGGUGGAACAGUAGCACAAAUCGAACCAACAUUAACACAAACAAACCAAAAAGUAAGCCACAAAAACAUCCUCCAUCACCACCACUUGAACAUCGCCAAAGGCAGCAGCACGACAACACCACUCCCUACAAACAUGUCUAAAAGCCUCCAAAACAUCACCAGCCCAACAACAAUCACCCCAAACACGACUAGAAUCCAAACACAAAACACCCAUAACCACCACCACUAACCACCACACGCACCACCAAAACACAGAAAUCUCGCAAAAAGAGGGAGUUUGACACCCAAACAAGCAAAAAGCAAAACUGAAUUUGAAUAGACCGGCACACACCACAACCACAAAACCACCACGAUCCUUACGACGACAACGAUCCGGAAGUUGCGAAGGAGGAUUAAUCGUGAAGGAACUGCAGCCGCGGGCAACUGAGCAGUCAUGAUCGAGCACCACCGACAAAUCCAGUGGCACACUAUCACUAGUCUUUACAGCAGAACCCUAACUAAAAACCAUAUCUGAAUUAUGGAGCACACCCCACUAAUAUGUCUUACCAAUACCAACAGUGAAACCGCCAAAGCAGAUCCAAAAAAUACAACAGAAAAUGCAACGAUAGACAACUAAAACACGACGGUGGUGGUGGUUAACAGCCAACCAUCGCCGUUUGAAACCACCAAAAACGGAAAGCCCAGAUCCAAGAACGAAAACAUAUCGUCGACAGAGGAAUCACCGACGGUAACAACCCAAAAGGGGUGUUUGAGGUGGUGACGCGACGGAGCUUCCGCUGAUCACACUACCGACACGUGCAACUACACGUGGAUAGUAAUGUUUGGAUGUUGAAGGAGAAGUGAGAGACAGAGUGGAGGUGGUGGUAGGCCGGAAGUGAAGGAGAGGGUGAAGAGAGUUUCUCUCUCUUGUUUUUUUACAUAAUCCUAGUUAGAUGGAUUCUUUGAUUAAUGUGGACUAAAAGUCUCUCUAACAAAAGUUUCAUAUAAACUAGCUAAUAAAAGAUGAAAUUAUAGCAAUUGUGUGAGCUCUAGUCACUAGACUACUUGAUAAAAAAAAAAAGAUGAAAUUAUAGUAUAUAACAAAGCUAACAUAGAGGAAAUGACUUAUAACAAAUUACUUUCAGAUAAUUUAUCAUAUUGAAUUUGGAAUGUUAAGAAUUUAAUACUUCAAACACAAAUGCAAGGAUAAAAUAUGACAAAUAAAAAAAAUGUAAAUUAAUAUUUAUUUAUUAAUUUCAAACAGCUAGGAUAGAAACAAGAGAAAAUUAAAUGCCAUUAACAUAGCGACAAAUGCAACUAAGUUUUGUGAAAAAAGCAAAAGCUUGAUUCAAUCUAAUAUAAAAACAAGAGAAAAUCAAAUGCCUUAAACAACCAUAUUUUUUUUUUUUUGAACAAUCAAAAAUGGGAUUAUAUUAACAAGAGUCUCAAUAGCACAAGACGUGCUACAAAGACUACUUCAGGAUUCUGUACAACAACAAAAUCAAGUUAGCCAAUACCCAAACAUUGUAACGGGUUUGACCACCAACUAAAAGUACCAAACAAAAAAGAAGCUUUUCUAGUUUUCAACCAACCUAAAGACAAAUAUUUUACUUUAUCAAGCAAUCUGGGUAUAGGAAUAAUAGAAUCAUUGAAACACAUAUUGUUACGUUCAGUCCAUAAGACCCAGGCACAGAGAAGCCAAAUAAGCUGGAGAAAAGACUGAGAAGCCUUACUUCCACCUGUUGAGUGAACAAACUGAACAAAAUGAUCAGACAAAACAUUAGUGUCCACUCCAACAAAACCAAUCCAAUCACGAACCAACGACCAAAGUAAAGCAAAGUACGAACAAGAGAGAAACAAAUGUUGCGCUGAUUCCAAAACACCUCACCCGGAGACACACAAACCAGCUUCUGAUGGAAUUACACCUCUAUAGACCAGAUUCGAUUUGGUAGGCAACCGAUCACGAAGAAGCCGCCAAGCAAAGACUGAUACCUUCAAAGGAACCUGUAUGUGCCAAAUCAUCUCCGCUGCCGAGUCCACCAUCGGUAAAUCUUUAGAAGUCAACACGGAAUAAGCCCCCGAAUAGAAUCGUUAUAAAUUAGUGUCAUCAAAUAUCUCUUAUCUUUAUUUUUUUUUUAAGGAACUCUAUCUUAAUCUUAUAAGCAUAACUCGGUUGAUCGGAAUAUUGCAAUAUAUUGAGACCAAAGUUUCAAUCUAACAUUAUCCAUUUAUUGUGAAAUUUUGACAACUAAGCUAAAAAAAAAUAACUCAUCUUAAUCUUACCAAUUUAUCCAUCACAAACUAUAGUUAACGAUAUUUUCUCUAUAGCACAUAAUCUAACAAUAAAGCUAUGACAAAUAGAGCGUAAGUUGAAAACAUGUGCAAGAAUGUCUUCCAAUUUCUUUGUAUUAAUCUAUUACUAGUACAACAGUUGUCCUGGUCAUUCGUACGUACAUAUGGAAAAAUAAAAUGUAUGCAUGGGACUCUCCAAUGAUGUUUUCCACUUUCACUUCACAAUAAAACAUUUAUUCCGUCUUUGUAAUGAUUCAUACAUUACAAUAAUACAAGAAAAAUCAAAAGGUAUGAAUAUGACUUAAACAACUCACAUGCACUUGGUAUACUUUUUCAAUAAAAAAAUAGAACUUUUGAAUAAUACCAUCAACCAUACUACAUUAAAGCUUAAUAAAAUGGGCCAGACAAGGAAGAGAUAUGAAAUUAUCAUUUUUCUUUAGAGAUAUGAAAUUAUCUUUUUUCUUUAUGUAAGAUAAAGUAUCUCACACGUGUUCCGUGAACAUAACUCAGUUGGUAAAACAAUGCAUUGUUAUAUAUAGGGGUCAGAAUUUAAACCCUGAACAUCCGACUUAUUCAACUUAUAAGAUGAAUUCUAACCAUUAAAGUAUCUAACUAAAAAAAAAGUAUCUCACACGUGAUUCUUGAAACUAAUAUUUUAAAAUAAAUGAGAAAAAUUUUAAGGAAUAUUGACUUCUUUCAACAUAUAUUUUUUCCAUACCCACUAAUCAAGAAUCAAACACUUGAUCAAAUGGUUAAAAUUUCAAACAUCUACCAUUUGAUCAAUCAUACAAUUUUUUUUAACUGAAGAUCAGUAACCACAUAUUGGUAUACUUUUCCUAAUUACAAAAUUAAACUUAUGACGAAUAGUUCAACUACAUCAACAACCAUACUUUAAAGUUUACAUGAAUUGGACCAAGACCAAAUAAGAGAUGUGAAAUUUAUCACAUGUUAGAUCUUAGUCUCAAAACUUUAUUUUUUUGGAUAAAAUAAAGUGUAUCUACGUGCAACCGUAAAGACUAAUUCUUCGAGGUAACAUAAAUAUAUUUAAGAGAUUGACUUCUCCUAACAUGUUUUUCCACACGCACUAGUGCAAUGAUAGAACAGAACUAAAUAAUUAAGAGAUUCAAAUAUAUCUACCACUUAGGUCACACCAUGUCGAUAAUUAUUCAACUUUACGGUCCAAAACAAUUGUAUAUGAAAAAUUGAAAACACAUGCGCCAUUAAUUUUGCAAUUAUUAUCUUCAAAAUGAUUUGUUAUUUUGCCUAUAUAAUAGUUUGAUGAAGUAAACAAAGAUCAUACUAAGCAAACCAACACUAGCUACAUUAUCAGAAUGGCUACCCAAGAAACUUUGCUACACAAGCCUAGAAAAUCCAUUCCCAAAACAUUUUGGUUAGUUCUCUCUUUAGCUGCUAUCAUAAGCUCAUCAGCCCUUAUUAUUUCUCAUCUGAACAAACCCAUCUCCAUUUUCCACUUCUCCUCAGCUCCUAAUGUGUGUGAACAUGCAGUUGAUACAAACUCAUGCUUAACUCAUGUAGCUGAGGUAGUUCAAGGUUCAACCUUGGACAACACAAAAGACCACAAAUUGAGUACACUCAUAUCGUUGUUAACCAAAUCCACCACACACAUUCGAAAGGCCAUGGACACGGCUAAUGUUAUCAAACGCCGAAUUAACAGCCCUAGAGAAGAAAAUGCUUUGAAUGUCUGUGAAAAACUAAUGAACUUGUCCAUGGAAAGAGUUUGGGACUCAGUGUUAACUCUCACAAAAGAUAAUAUGGACUCACAGCAAGAUGCACACACUUGGCUAAGUAGUGUGCUCACAAACCAUGCAACUUGUUUGGAUGGAUUAGAAGGUACGUCUCGGGCUGUUAUGGAAAAUGACAUUCAGGACUUAAUAGCAAGAGCUAGAUCAUCUCUAGCCGUGCUUGUUGCCGUUUUACCUCCAAAGGAUCACGACGAAUUCAUUGAUGAAUCAUUGAAUGGUGACUUUCCCUCUUGGGUAACAAGUAAAGAUCGAAGGCUUUUGGAGUCUUCAGUUGGAGACGUAAAGGCCAAUGUUGUGGUGGCUAAAGACGGGAGUGGCAAGUUCAAGACUGUUGCUGAGGCUGUUGCAUCUGCACCUAACAAAGGUACGGCAAGGUAUGUUAUCUACGUGAAAAAGGGAAUCUACAAAGAGAAUGUAGAAAUCGCUAGUUCAAAGACGAACGUGAUGCUCUUGGGUGACGGUAUGGAUGCAACGAUAAUCACAGGCAGCUUAAAUUACGUUGAUGGAACAGGCACCUUCCAAACUGCAACUGUUGGUAUGAGUUUUUUCCCUUGUCAGUAUUUACCGUUUCAAUUUUUCUAUGACAUUGAUUUUGAUUCGUAUAUAAUUUGGUUUUGUAGCUGCUGUUGGGGAUUGGUUUAUAGCUCAGGACAUUGGAUUCCAAAACACGGCAGGUCCACAGAAGCAUCAGGCAGUUGCUCUGCGCGUCGGCUCUGAUCGAUCUGUCAUUAACCGUUGCAAAAUUGAUGCAUUUCAAGACACUCUAUACGCACACACCAACCGACAAUUUUACCGUGACUCCUUCAUUACCGGUACCAUUGACUUUAUCUUUGGAGACGCAGCUGUUGUGUUGCAGAAGUGCAAACUCGUGGCCCGAAAGCCCAUGGCCAACCAAAACAACAUGGUCACAGCCCAGGGUCGAAUAGACCCAAACCAGAACACCGCAACUUCAAUUCAGCAAUGCGAUGUAAUCCCAAGCACGGACCUCAAACCUGUGAUAGGCUCCGUCAAAACCUACUUAGGCCGCCCAUGGAAGAAAUACUCCAGGACUGUUGUGAUGCAGUCCUUGUUAGGAGCC
rnacentral:lncRNA from 1 species